ACGAACGCUGGCGGCGUGCCUAAUACAUGCAAGUAGAACGCUGAAGAGAGGAGCUUGCUCUUCUUGGAUGAGUUGCGAACGGGUGAGUAACGCGUAGGUAACCUGCCUUGUAGCGGGGGAUAACUAUUGGAAACGAUAGCUAAUACCGCAUAACAAUGGAUGACACAUGUCAUUUAUUUGAAAGGGGCAAUUGCUCCACUACAAGAUGGACCUGCGUUGUAUUAGCUAGUAGGUGAGGUAACGGCUCACCUAGGCGACGAUACAUAGCCGACCUGAGAGGGUGAUCGGCCACACUGGGACUGAGACACGGCCCAGACUCCUACGGGAGGCAGCAGUAGGGAAUCUUCGGCAAUGGGGGCAACCCUGACCGAGCAACGCCGCGUGAGUGAAGAAGGUUUUCGGAUCGUAAAGCUCUGUUGUAAGUCAAGAACGAGUGUGAGAGUGGAAAAUUCACACUGUGACGGUAGCUUACCAGAAAGGGACGGCUAACUACGUGCCAGCAGCCGCGGUAAUACGUAGGUCCCGAGCGUUGUCCGGAUUUAUUGGGCGUAAAGCGAGCGCAGGCGGUUUGAUAAGUCUGAAGUUAAAGGCUGUGGCUCAACCAUAGUUCGCUUUGGAAACUGUCAAACUUGAGUGCAGAAGGGGAGAGUGGAAUUCCAUGUGUAGCGGUGAAAUGCGUAGAUAUAUGGAGGAACACCGGUGGCGAAAGCGGCUCUCUGGUCUGUAACUGACGCUGAGGCUCGAAAGCGUGGGGAGCGAACAGGAUUAGAUACCCUGGUAGUCCACGCCGUAAACGAUGAGUGCUAGGUGUUGGAUCCUUUCCGGGAUUCAGUGCCGCAGCUAACGCAUUAAGCACUCCGCCUGGGGAGUACGACCGCAAGGUUGAAACUCAAAGGAAUUGACGGGGGCCCGCACAAGCGGUGGAGCAUGUGGUUUAAUUCGAAGCAACGCGAAGAACCUUACCAGGUCUUGACAUCCCGAUGCUAUUUCUAGAGGUAGAAAGUUACUUCGGUACAUCGGUGACAGGUGGUGCAUGGUUGUCGUCAGCUCGUGUCGUGAGAUGUUGGGUUAAGUCCCGCAACGAGCGCAACCCCUAUUGUUAGUUGCCAUCAUUCAGUUGGGCACUCUAGCGAGACUGCCGGUAAUAAACCGGAGGAAGGUGGGGAUGACGUCAAAUCAUCAUGCCCCUUAUGACCUGGGCUACACACGUGCUACAAUGGUUGGUACAACGAGUUGCGAGUCGGUGACGGCAAGCUAAUCUCUUAAAGCCAAUCUCAGUUCGGAUUGUAGGCUGCAACUCGCCUACAUGAAGUCGGAAUCGCUAGUAAUCGCGGAUCAGCACGCCGCGGUGAAUACGUUCCCGGGCCUUGUACACACCGCCCGUCACACCACGAGAGUUUGUAACACCCGAAGUCGGUGAGGUAACCUUUUGGAGCCAGCCGCCUAAGGUGGGAUAGAUGAUUGGGGUG
rnacentral:rRNA from 1 species